GAUUCUGAACGGAAGAGUUGACAAUGGGGUCGCGCAGUGUUCAGACAGCGCUUUCGCUCGCUUUGAUUUUACUUGUGCAGCUCCACGGCGGUUUCGGAUGGAGCUGGUCGGAUCAGCCGGUUUAUAACCCAGUGCUGUUUACCGCGCCGAGAGUGGUAUUUCAGGCGAAGCCCACCCCUCUCUCCGUGCAGAGAGCUGACCUGUCGCUGUUGAAUUCGGUCACCCUGGACUGCAGGAAAGACGCCAUCGUCUUGACCGUGAACCGGGACUUGUUUGGGAUCGGCUACCUGGUGAGCAGCGCCGACUUGAGCGUCGGGUCCGCGGGCUGCUCGGCCACCUCCUCCGACAGCGUCGCCAACACGGUUUUGUUCAGCAUCCAGCUCCAGGACUGCGGCUGCACUUUCCAGGGCUGAUGGAAUGACAAUGCGGUUUCCUUUUGUUAUGAAGCCAUCGAUUUCAGGCAGUUGACGUCUUGCUGGAAAGAAGCAGUCGCUUGAGAUUUCAAGAGAGGAGAGACCUUUCAAGAGAGACCUUUCAAGAGAUUUCAAGAGAGGAGAGAACUUUACAGGAGAGACCUGGUUCUUUUUUAUUUGUUUGCCACAGAUCCACUGACACUAAUUCAUCUUAGAAGGGUGGAGCUGGACUCCAUGUUAAGAGCAAUCUAGGUAAAGUACCUUGCUCAAGGGUACAGCAGCAGUGUUUCCCACCUGGGAGUGAACCCACAACCUGCUGGUCAAGAGUCCAGAGCCCUAACCACUGCUCCACACUGCUGCCCCCAAGUUCUGAUGAAUCAUUAAAUGAAAACUUCUAUGCAAGUGUCACAGGUGUGACUGCUGAGCACUUAUUAUUUUCAUUAUUAUUAUUGCAUGAAUUUUCUAUACACUUUUAAUGUGUGAUUUGCUUGUUUUGUAAUUUUGCUUUGUCUUUAAACUCUCACCUGAACAGAAUAAAGUGAUGUCUGACCAAAGGGAAACUUGAUUCAUGUUAAUUUGAAGCAGCUGUUACUUUAUUUAGAUACCUUUGAUCGGGGCAGGUUUUUCUUUUAUAAGCUCCAGGAGAGAAACGCCAAGGGGAGAGAAACGACAGAGAGAAGGGAAAACAAACUGAGAAUGAAGAGAGACUUGGAGAGGGACAACCGAGAAGAACUGCAUUGGGAAAUUGGCUUAUGCAUAAAACGAGACUAAAAUAGACUGUAGCCAGGCCUGAGGUGAGGGACGAGACAGAAGGGGAACAUUAAAGCACAUAAUCAGCAUGAAAGACAAGACAGGACACCAAGCACCACCCCUGAAGUGAAGCAAGAACAGCAGGCUGACUGAGCGAGACCAGAUAAGGCGGAGGUUAAUUGGCAAUACAAACGACUGAGAUUCUGGACUGCCACAGUCUCUAGAGAUGGGGAGUGUUGAGAUUACUUCCCCUUAAAGUUAAGUGCUGCUUUCUUAACUCGCUUUAUUUAGUUUAGUUAUUUUAUUUUUAAAUUCUUUGUUUGAAAGCCACUGAAUAUAAAACAAGUAACAACGGAAUGUACUGCACUCCUCAGUUUUUGUUUUGUUUAUUUAUUUUGUAGAGUUCUGCUUCUGCCACGCCCCUCUACACUUCAACUGCAACUUCAUGAGCUACUUUCUUUGCACACUAUUUCGGGCCUGUAAGCAAUUGACCCAGAGACUGAUUUGCAUUCUUUUGCAUGAUUUGGACUGGUUUCUAACUUGUUUUUUAUUUUGAACUAUUAUUGUAAAUGUAUUGAUGAUAUUUUACA